GAGGAUACAUCAGAGUCCAUCUCAAAAGAGGAAAGCAUGGAGAAGAGCACUGAGGCAGAUUCCACAAAUGAAGACGAUGAUACUGACACCACAUCUGAGGAGGAUACAUCAGAGUCCCUCUCAAAAGUAAAAAAACGUGAUGGUCUGACCCCUAGAAGUCCAGCCCAAAAAGACUCAGGAAUCACAGAUGGGAAAGACUCAGCUGAGGACGUUACAGGUGCAGACUCAGCUGACACCACAAAUCAGCCAGACAAGAGCUCAGAAGAGGAGUCAGACGCUGGGGACAAAGACCAAAAGGCCAAAGACAAAGACGCUGAAAUGAAGGGCGAAGACAAAAAAGCCCAAGACAAAGACGCCAAAGCCAAGAGCUCCGGCAGCCAGGAGGCAGGGGCCUCCACCAAAGAAGAUGGAGACGAAGACGACAUUAAGAGCAGCCAGGAGAUGCACGACAGCGCCAGCCAAGACUCCGAGUACGCCACCAAGGAGGAGAGUGAGGAGGAGAAGAGCGCUGAGUCAUCGGACGAUAAAGAGAGCAAGAACGCCAGCAAGAAAGACAAAGCCAGCAUGGAGGACAAAUCAGAAGAGGAUGCAGACAAAGUUGACUAGAGGAUACAUCAGAGUCCAUCUCAAAAGAGGAAAGCAUGGAGAAGAGCACUGAGGCAGAUUCCACAAGUAAGGACUGACUGGAAGUUUUAACACCUCCUGUAAUUCAGCAUGGCAACAUCGUGGACAUGAUG
ensembl:lncRNA